rnacentral:rRNA from 1 species
CCUACGGGUGGCUGCAGUCGAGAAUCAUUCACAAUGGGGGAAACCCUGAUGGUGCGACGCCGCGUGGGGGAAUGAAGGUCUUCGGAUUGUAAACUCCUGUCAUGUGGGAGCAAACUAAAAAGAUAGUACCAUAAGUGGAAGAGACGGCUAACUCUGUGCCAGCAGCCUCGGUAAUACAGAGGUCUCAAGCGUUGUUCGGAAUUACUGGGCGUAAAGGGUGCGUAGGCUGUUUCGUAAGUCGUGUGUGAAAGGCGCGGGCUCAACCCGCGGACGGCACAUGAUACUGCGAGACUAGAGUAAUGGAGGGGGAACCGGAAUUCUCGGUGUAGCAGUGAAAUGCGUAGAUAUCGAGAGGAACACUCGUGGCGAAGGCGGGUUCCUGGACAUUAACUGACGCUGAGGCACGAAGGCCAGGGGAGCGAAAGGGAUUAGAUACCCUUGUAGUC